rnacentral:rRNA from 1 species
GACGUAGGGCGCGAGCGUUGUCCGGAUUUAUUGGGCGUAAAGAGCUCGUAGGCGGCUUGUCGCGUCGACUGUGAAAUCCCGAGGCUCAACUUCGGGCUUGCAGUCGAUACGGGCAGACUAGAGUGCGGUAGGGGAGACUGGAAUUCCUGGUGUAGCGGUGAAAUGCGCAGAUAUCAGGAGGAACACCGGUGGCGAAGGCGGGUCUCUGGGCCGUAACUGACGCUGAGGAGCGAAAGCGUGGGGAGCGAACAGG